rnacentral:tRNA from 1 species
GAGGGUAUAGCUCAGAGGUAGAGCGUGUGCUUAGCAUGAGCAAGGUCCUGGUUUCAAUCCCCAGUACCUCCA